rnacentral:rRNA from 1 species
CGGAGGGGGCGAGCGUUAUUCGGAAUUAUUGGGCGUAAAGGGCGCGUAGGCGGCUUGUUAAGUCAAAGGUGAAAUCCCUCGGCUCAACUGAGGAACUGCCUUUGAAACUAGCGAGCUUGAGGCCGGAGGGGGUAGCGGAAUUCCCAGUGUAGCGGUGAAAUGCGUAGAUACUGGGAGGAACACCAGUGGCGAAGGCGGCUACCUGGACCGGUACUGACGCUGAGGCGCGAAAGCGUGGGUAGCAAACAGGAUUAGAUACCCUGGUAGUCCACGCUGUAAACGAUGGGUGCUCGGUGUCGCGGGUAUCGACCCCUGCGGUGCCUUAGCUAACGCGUUAAGCACCCCGCCUGGGGAGUACGGUCGCAAGGCUG